AGGAUCUAUCUAGAUUGUAUCAAACACCUAGAGGGGGGUGAAUAAAUGUAACGGCAAAAAACCACAAAUCUCAAUGCGAUAAAAUUAAAUGCGAAAAAUAAAAAUCACACCGAGAUUUACAUGGGAAAAUAACAAAUUGGAGUAAAAAACCCAUGGGACCAACACGCGAAAAAAUAAUUCACUAAGAGAAAAGAUUACAAGGUGAUUACCGACUCCUCGGACUCGACCUCUCUUAAUCUCCUAUGAAUUUCGCGCAAUCCACCGGGUUGUCCACGCCCUCACGUUCGAAUCCACAAACGCCUCGCACACGUCCGAAUCCACGAACGCCACUCGAAUCCACGAGCUCACGAUCCGAAUCCACGAAUCGCCUUCAAUCAUGCCGAAUCCACGACGCAACCAUAAA
rnacentral:lncRNA from 1 species